ACAUUUCACUUGUUUUUUGUUUCUUUUUUUGUUGUCGUCGUGGAGAAAGUAAUCGGCUCAGAGCAUCAAACAUUUACCCCGCCUUUUUUUUAUAUGAUACACACAAAGUUCAUUGGAUAAAGAUAAAUUCUGAAAAGAAUGAAACCCGGAAUAUAAUAGGGUACCUGAAAUAAAGUUUUCUUUCAGGCCUAUGGAUUCUCAAGUCUCUACUCUCUACAUAUAUACUCGUAGAGAGAGUACACACACACACAUAUACAUACAUCGAUACACACAGGAGCUAUAGGGAUCGAUCGAUGUAGACGACACAAUCGACUGAAUUGAAUUUUCGUUUUUUUCCCGCGAACUCGCUCUCUAUAGCUCGGAGGAAUAUGUAUAAGAAAAUAUAAAUAUAAAAGAAAAAGAAAGAAGAAAAGAAAGAUGUACUAUGUACACACAUACUUCCAUAACUUUUGGCUUCUUUUUUCUCUAAUACACAACGGGCGAGGAAUCAAUAAUCGAUUAGGUUGAGUGUGUCUGUGCACACUUUGCUUUCAGACUGCCAGCAGCUUCACUAGUGUCGUAUGGAGAUAGUGCGCUACUACUGUGCUACCUAUAAGAUAGCAGCAACAGUAAACGAUGUGCGGUGUAUACUUCAUCGCUUUUCUCUUCUAAAAAAGUCCUUUCUCUCUCUAUCCUGCCAUUGUUGUCGCUUCACCAGCAGCUGCUUUUGUUUGUUCACUGAUAAGAAAAAUGUCACGCUAUACUAAACCCAUCGGUCGUCGUCGUUAUGAACUGGUGAUUGAGAAUCCCUAGGGGGGGACUGUAUUGUUCUGUUUCACAGUCUAUUAAAGACGGUUGAAAAAUUGCCGAUCGAAAAUUGAUGGAGCAAUUCCCAGAUGACAUUUUUUUCUAAUUUUAAAAUUGAAUUCAUUUCGACAGAUGCGGACUGACUUCGGCCAGCGAUUUCGUCGAGGUGUCCAAUUUCAUGACGGUCGAUCGGAAAUUGCCCCGCUACUGCGGAUUGCAAAAGGAUCUCAAAAUGGAGUCGGACGGAGCCUUUUUCCGCGUGACGUUCAAGUCGAACGACCGAUUCGACGGCACUGGAUUCUACGCCAGUUAUCAGUUCACUCCGGUGGCCGACGCCGUCACCAUUACUCGGCGUCGUAGCUCAUCGCCGGCUUCCAGUUCACCAUAUCCAGCUGGAUGUAUCCUGUUGUUCUAUCUGCUCGCAUACCUGAUCUCGUAGACACAUUUCUUCUCCGCUGAUGGAUGGAAGCCGAUCUGACGUCAUCGCAACAAUAUCAACAACGUUCCUGGCGAACGGAUUGAAAUUUCGAAAUUUAGGCAAAUGAGCGAUUAGCAACGGUUGUGGGAAAGUGCUAGGCGGCGUACGCUGUGAGAAAGGGAAUGUACAAGAGAUAUAGAACACUAUUAUUAAUUUAUUCAUUCAUUAUUAUACAGAUUCACUGGUUCCCAUAAAAUGUGUGUGUGUGAGAGAGAGUGUGUGCGGUGUGUGUUUGGCCAGUGGGACUAUGCGCCAAUACCUCCUCCUUCUGGUCAUUUAUAUAUACAUAUUUUAAAAAUUUUAUAGCUGAUUUGAAUCAUCACCAACCACUCACCCUCCCCUCCCAUUCUUGAUAUUUUUUCAAAUCUAAAACAAAGAAAAUCGACGGAGAUUCAGCCCGUUUAUUUUUUAGCUCUCGUUGUUUAAAAAAAAAAAAAAAAAAAAAAGAAAUCACCCGUGUGGAUGAAAACCCAUUCAAUUCGUUAUUAUUUAUUUGGAUAUUUAUUAUUUAUUCGAUUAUCUCUCUCUCUAGUGUGAUGUGUGGAUUUGCUCAAAUGAAAGGGCUGUCAUCUCGUUAAAAUGAAAUAAAUCAUGUUCAUCAAUCUUAA